UAUCAACUCUCCCUGGUUGAUUAAAGGU
rnacentral:sRNA from 1 species